ensembl:snRNA U1 U1 spliceosomal RNA
AUACUUACCUGGCAGGGGAGAUACCAUGAUCACGAAGGUGGUUUUCCCAGGGCGAGGCUUAUCCAUUGCACUCCGGAUGUGCUGACCCCUGCGAUUUCCCCAAAUGUGGGAAACUCGACUGCAUAAUUUGUGGUAGUGGGGGACUGCGUUCGCGCUCAA